UACAGAGGUCUCAAGCGUUGUUCGGAAUUACUGGGCGUAAAGGGUGCGCAGGCCGCGCGGGCAGUCAAAUGUGUAAUUCAGGGGCUCAACCCCUGCACUGCGCUUGAUACUUCCGCGCUAGAACUUUGGAGAGGAGUCUGGAAUUCUCGGUGUAGCAGUGAAAUGCGUGGAUAUCGAGAGGAACACCAGUGGCGAAGGCGAGUCUCUGGACGACUCCUGACACUGAGGCACGAAAGCUGGGGGAGCAAACAGG
rnacentral:rRNA from 1 species